CAUUACUGUCCAUUUUAAAUAUAUAUCUUUACAAUGACGAAGGCUGUGUAACUAAAAACUUAGGAAGUCUUACAAAACAAGGUUUUCCGUAAAGAACCGUUAACGUAAAUCAUGCGUUACAAUCACAACCCUCGGUCUAAAUAAUGGCUAUGUUUUUGCUUCUUGAAUUUUUGUAUAAAUAAACUUCUAACAGCAUUCAGAUAACAGUUGACUUGUCAAGUAUUAACAAAACUCCACAAUGCCGGCUCCCUGUGAACCCUGCAAAGAUUCUUGCAAAGAAUCCUGUAAGGACGACUGUUCUUGUAAGGACAAAGGAUGUGAUGAUUGCGCUCCUAAAGGUGGUUGUUGCUAAUUACGUAUAAACCAGAUGUAGGCGCAUUACAAACUCGAAGAUUUCCAAAGUCUUCGAACGCUACUCACCCGUUAACAUCCGUGGGCUUCGUCACAAAUUUUGUUUUAAUUCAAAUCAUCAAAUAAAAAAUAUAUUAUGUGUGUAUGAA